UACGAAGGGGGCUAGCGUUGCUCGGAAUUACUGGGCGUAAAGCGCACGUAGGCGGCUUCUUAAGUCGGUGGUGAAAUCCUGGAGCUCAACUCCAGAACUGCCUUCGAUACUGGGAAGCUCGAGUCCGGGAGAGGUGAGUGGAACUGCGAGUGUAGAGGUGAAAUUCGUAGAUAUCGGAAGGAACACCGGUGGCGAAAGCGGCGCGCUGGACCUCUACUGACGCUGAGGCGCGAAAGCCAGGGGAGCAAACGGG
rnacentral:rRNA from 1 species